CGGAACGGCAAAACCUUAUGGACCAUCCGUUGGUGGAUGGUGGAUGGAGCUCUGUGGGAAGAGGGCAUUAGUGCCUUAAAUCAUAACACAAGGAAGUACUAAAAAAUAAAAAACCUUAGUUCUGCCCCACCAGUGGUAAGAGACAUCGCCAGGCGAUCGAAAUGCAGCUUGACGGAGAUGCCUAUUGUUAUGGAACUGCAUAUUGUUCUUCCUGGGACGGCCCCGGCUAGCUUCGGAAUCCUUAGGGCGGAGUACCCCCAAUGUCCCUACAGCCCCACAACAUUAAAUAUCGAUGACUAUCGACGUCUCGCUCUACAAAUACUAACAUCUCUAAUAACCUAAACGUAAACAAACGAAACAACAAACAAAUCGGGACCAAUACGACGGAAAAGUGGCAUCAGAUGUGGCUGCCACAGCGCACCCUCCCUUUCUGUGGUGCCCGAGGGAGGCACCACCCAUCGUUAGCGGCCGGAAUCACUGCCAGGCGGUCUACGACCGGCCCAUCUCCCCCAACAGGUAAGGAUGCUUCUUUAUAUGCGUGACCCUAAGCGCACCAGCAUUUUGAAAAUAAUACUAAGGGGUCACAGCGGUAGUACCGACAAGGUCGGGAAACUAGCUACGGUCACCGCGGAACCAAAUCUUCGCGCAGGGUUGGUUGGGUCUACUGCACCAUUUCGGGUCACCUAAUCCCGGGAAGCUCCGAGGGAUAAGAAGGGACGUGCGGAUUCCCGCGACCAAAUAGCUGGGUUUAACGAGGGGCGAGAAUGGAAGGACGCAGGUAAAUCCGCAUCAAUUUACAACGAUGGUGUGGUGCGGAGAUCGGUACCACGCCUUGGUUUGGCCACUGUGGAUCGCGACGUGGGAGAGGCCGCGUGGUGAAGGAGCACAGUCAGGGUCGCGACGCAGCGCUGAUCGGGUUCUACGUGCCCGGAAUGGACUCACCGAGCCGAUUCCAACAUGAAAUGCAACACUAUGCAUAUCUCAACCAUCAACAACCAGAUGCUGGAUGGAUUUAAGGAACACUCUCUCCAAUGAGUACAAAACCCAGACGUCCUGCAAAGACGUAAGACGGCUGUAUAACACCCCCUUUCCCGGGUGUAUACGUAAGUUCGUUGAGGAUAUAGUCGUCCGAUCCUUUUGAAAUUUCGCAGGUCGGAUUGAUUGGUUAAAAAUAAAACCAUAGAAAGUCCCAACUUCCUAACUUUACAAACACCAAAGUUAUGGCAUUUCCGAUCAAUCAUAUAGGAUAUAGUCGACUGAUCCCGGCCGUUAUAUAUUGCG